rnacentral:rRNA from 1 species
UACAGAGAGUGCGAGCGUUAAUCGGAAUUACUGGACGUAAAGCGCGCGUAAGCGGCUUUGCAAGUCGGAUGUGAAAUCCCCAGGCUCAACCUGGGAACUGCAUUCGAGACUGCAUUGCUAGAGUAUGGGAAAGGGAAGUGGAAUUUCCGGUGUAGCAGUGAAAUGCGUAGAUAUCGGAAGGAACAUCAGUGGCGAAAGCGACUUCCUGGACCAAUACUGACGCUCAUGUGCGAAAGCGUGGAAAGCAAACAGG